GCCUGUACGAUGAUAUUCAUAAUUCAAAUUUAACGGCUAGUCAAAUAUCGAAACUCGUAUUGUUUAUUGAUUAAUGCUGCUUUUUGUUUUAAUCUUCUAGUUCUAGCGAAGUUCAGUAAAAUAUUCCUAAGAACUUUAUUAUAAAACAUUGAAAGUUUAUUAGUAAUAUUUUAAACAUUUGUCAGGAGUGAUUUGCCUAUCAUACCUAAGCUAAACUUUAGCCUAAAGACAUGUACUAUACUAUAUAGUCCAUAGUAAAGAAAUUUUAAGUAAACAAAUAGCUUAUUUUGUGCGAUAUUCUAAUUUUGUAUUACUUACGCUUAGAAGUUAGAAUUAGUUUCUUUACAUUGUCAAAGCGAAAGUAAUCGGUUCGUCCGCAAGAAUGGGCACAUCUUUACAUAUUACAAAUAAUAACUUAUUAAAAAUGUUUAAUAAUUUGAUUUAAUUAAUAACUUUGAAUUCUUAGAUUUAUGUUUAUAUUGUUUAAAUUGGGGAUGAUAAAAUUUCUAUAGUAGGCUCCAAACAAAAAGAAAUGCUGAAACUGUGUAAUACAUUUGUUUAAUUUUAAAUGCCUUCCAUUUCCAGUAGUUUACAAAGGGCAUAGGGGAAACAUCCCCACUAGACUUUUUUGCAAAUGCCCAACUUUAGCCAGUAAAGAUCUCAAUCUUUACAAACUUUUCAAAACAGUGAAAACAAUUGGGAUGCUAUAGUAGGCAAAUCUUCUAGUGAAUAUGAUUGGAUAUGUUCAGAGAGAUCCUUGCUCGCUUAAUACUAUCUUGAAUGAUGUGGCAACUGCGUCUCUCUUGAUAAGGCUUAACCAGUCACCUGACACAUCACAAGAAAAAAUCAAGAAUUGAAACUUGGUGUUUGGAGACAAGGUGAAAGUAAGAUAUGAAUGUGACAAACAAUGCAAGACAUAUAAAGCAAAAGUAAUAAAGAUUGAACUGCUAAUGGUGAAGCUUCCUUCUAUGUUCAUUACACAUGCUGGAAUGAGAGGUAAAAGACUCGAAGACAAGGGGAAAAGUUUCCAAACUAUUCAUUUCUGAAAAAUAAACAUACAAUGAAGCAUCGUAGGUUUUUGGAAGAAGUUAAUAAAUAAUUAUCAAGAAAGAGAUCUACAAGAUGAGAAGGAAAUAGUGUUGUACAGUGAGCUGCUAAUAGAAGCCAGACCAGGAGAGCACUUACACACAAUGAUUACAAAGAUUCUGAUGAGAGACUAGCUAUACUGUAAGAAAGGUUGUGUGAACUUAAAUCCUACAUGCCCACGAAAGCUGAAGUUGCACUGAUAGAUAGAAGAAGCCAGAAAAGGGGAAAAAGAAGUUGGUAUUUCAGUAUUUAUGCAGUUAUUUACUCUGUGAAACUUGAAUUUUCAGGUUCAUAAAACUAGAAUUCUAACAAAUUUCAGAGUUGGUUUUUUAGAAUGUAUCAUAAAGGAUAUAAUACAAAUAUGUCAUCAUUUCUGUCAAAAUAUUAUUUUAAAAAUUUUAAUUACAUGAAAAGUUGGAAGUAAUUUCACUCAAGUAAGAACUGGCUUAGUUAUCCUAUCAACAGCUUUGAACUGCAAGUUUUGAAAAGAUUUUAUGUUUGUCAAUCUCUUAUGCAGCAUUUACAUAAUCUUUUUAUAUAUAAAUUAAUUGAUGUACCCAUUUUGCAUGGGGAAGACAUUGGGGCCCAUGGGGAGUGUCAUAGGGGUCCAAAUCCAGACACCAAGCCUCAUCCUAUGUCACUCACCAGAGUGCCCUAAGGGUGCGUUGAAGUUUGGUAGAAAUCAGUAGAAUAGUACAGUGAACACACAAGGGUCUCCAGGGUGACAUUGGAGGGUCAGAGCUAAACACUGAUCUUCCUGUGUCGCUCCUACAAGGUAUGGUAGAGAUCAACAUAAUAGAAUAGGGAGCAUGAAGGGCCUUUGUGGAGUGACAUAGAGGAAUCACAUCUGAACACCGACUCCCUUAUAUCAUUUCCAGAGGGAUCCUAAAGGGGCAAAUGAAGCUUGGUUGAGUUCAAUCAGAAACUACAUAUGUGAAAGGCAAACAGACAAUGGUCCUACACACCUACAAACAGACAAUGGUAGUACACACCUGGGGGCCAUAAAGGUGCAAGCCAUGUUUGGUUUAUAUAAGUCAAGAAGUGUAGGCAUCAAAAGUGGACAUACUGAUGAUGCUAAGUGUUAAUGUCUUGCACAUUUUAUAACUUUGCAGAAGAGUGGGUAUAAAAUAUUAGUAAUGCCAUCAUUAAUUAGGGUGUUUUUAACAUAAGUUAUGAUAUUAAGGCAUAUAAUAACACAAACAAUUUCAGUUCAACUUAAUACUUUAAUAGUGAUUAACAGAGACAAUUGUUUAUUUUUAGUGAAUAUUUGUUUUCUGUGUUUCUUCUACUUAUAAUACCUCAUAGUUACUUGUAUAUAAGACAGAAAUGAAACUGGAAAUUAACAGCAUAACUACUUAUUACUUAGGAGAUUCAAAUGCUCGAUUUUUAAAUUAGUUAAAAAUAUUUUUUCACCAUAUCCAUGAGAGGAAUAUGUUUUAAAGACACAGUGCCAUGCUUACAUUUUUGUGCCAUUCAAGUAACAUAAUUUCUUUAAAUUCUUUGAUGUUUUGAAAAAAAAGCCUUUGCUUUUCACAGUCAUAUGAAUGUUGGAAAUCAUAAGUAAUUUUUGUUUUUGGUAGGAGAAUGUGAUAAUUGUAAGAAAAUACAAAUUGUUUAUUUUUUAACGUAUUCAUGUUUUUUGCACAAAAUAUUAAGGAAUAUUAUAUCGUCAGUAAUUUACCUUGUAAGUUUUUCUAGAAUGAUUUUAGAAGUAAGCCUUUUUUUUUUAGUUCAGAACGAUAAUUUUAAGUAAAUCUUUGUUCCAAACUAUUUUGCAUGUAAUGAUUCUUGACUUCGGAUUUGAAGGAUUACCAAUAAACUUUUGAACGUAAUCAAUUAUGUAUGCCUAGUUUAAAGAACAAGUAAUGGAGGUGCGUUUUAAAUUUACUUUUGCAUUUGAUACUUAUUCCUUCAGUAGUUGUAUGUAAAUAAAUAUUUUAUAAUUGAA